ensembl:lncRNA
GCAGCGUUUUGUGAACAAUGUGUGAGCAUCAUGGGAAAAUUUCCCAGCAUUCUCAAGUCGAGAGCCAGAGUUAAUUGUGUAAUAUUGUUUUUGAAGUCCCAGAUGAAAUGAAGCAUGAAUGCUAAUGAAUGUAGGCUUUGUGUUUAUCUGUUCAGACUGCAGAAGGCCCUGCUAAAAGAGAUGCAGCAUACGUGUUGUGAAAUUUCCCCUUUAUUUUGCGCAAACACUUUUAACGAGUUUCCAAAUGAAUCCUGUUCUCUGUAUUCUUUGGAUCAGGGACAAAAACUUGCCGUUUUGCAGUGUUUCUGGGAUGCGGCCUGGAUCUUUAAGGACCCCAAACUGUCAAAGUUGAAUGAAGUUAGGGGGCCACUGGGGCUAUGAGGUAGCGGUGUUUCCGUGGAAACAAAUCCACAUAGUCACAUGGCUUCAUACUAAUGAAUAUUCUCACCAGCUCUUUCCAGACCGAGCAGUUUGUUGGUCACUUUUGGCCUAUGCCAUCGCCAGCAUGAGCCUAACGGGGAUCGAUCUGUCUCUUAACGGGACGGCCUUGUUGAAACCAAAUGACACAGAAACACAAGCCGCUCUCUAUGAAGUCAAGGUGUUCAACAUCACCCUUUCAUCAAUAGCUCUGUGCGUCCUGACAGUGACAGGAAUCAUCAGCUGUAUCUCGUACAGAAGACACAGAAGGAAGUGUAAACGGGCGCGUGUCUAUGAGAGCGCCAUAUCCAGCGAGGUUCCUGAAGAGCCAGUGGGUGUUAUGUGUGUGAGGAAAACCCAUAGUUUCCGUAACCCGCUCGCCCUGUUCAGAAGACAGGAGGGGCCGAAGGACAACUCACGCAUCCACUACAUCUACACCAACCCUCUGCCUGUGGGACACGAGGAGGACAGGAUCCCCCCUCACACCGUGUCCAUACACACUCCAGUCACGCUGCAGGACUAUGCCAACAACCCCACCAGCGGCAUCAUCCUGGCCCCGCCCAUUUUUUACAUGCAGCUGUAG